GACUCCUACGGGAGGCAGCAGUGGGGAAUAUUGGACAAUGGGGGAAACCCUGAUCCAGCCAUGCCGCGUGUGUGAAGAAGGCCUUAUGGUUGUAAAGCACUUUAAGCGAGGAGGAGGCUACUGAGACUAAUACUCUUGGAUAGUGGACGUUACUCGCAGAAUAAGCACCGGCUAACUCUGUGCCAGCAGCCGCGGUAAU
rnacentral:rRNA from 1 species